rnacentral:rRNA from 1 species
UACGUACGAGGCGAGCGUUAUCCGGAAUUACUGGGCGUAAAGCGCGCGCAGGUGGCUUGGUAAGUGAGAUGUGAAAUCUCCCGGCCUAACUGGGAGGGGACAUUUCAGACUGGCAGGCUUGAGGACAGCAGAGGUAGGUGGAAUUCCUGGUGUAGUGGUGAAAUGCGUAGAUAUCGGGAGGAACACCUGUGGCGAAAGCGGCGCACUGGACCACAACUGACGCUGAGGCGCGAAAGCUAGGGGAGCAAACAGG